GGGGCUCAAGUUUAACGUAUAGCGACUUAAAAAUUCAGGCGCCUGUUGAGGAUUUUCCAAGAAUCGAGCAAACUAAGAGCGUCGCCGAUUUUUUUAUGAUUGGGGGAAUUUGCCAGCCUAACCGAAAAUGCGCAAGGUGGAAAAGAUACGUAUGUAUGAAAGAUGAGAAUGUGAGUUGAAUCAAGUUCCGAAAGCAAGAUUAGUUACACGAUGUAACGAUGUUUGCUUAACAGUAGUGGGAUGGACGCUAAUGGAUCACACACACUAAUACUUAAGGAUGAUGAAUCCCAUAAUGAAAUAAGGCAACGCUCACUACUUUGGCCGCCGCCAUCCGAAAUCCAAUAGCGAAACCGUAGAUAUUACGUAGACAGUAAUUUUCGCAUUAUAGGUAAUUUGAUAGAGCGAAAAAGCGAGGCAAAUUAUGAAAACACAAUGGGUUCAGUUUUGAGCGUACUGAACUCGAGCGAUAACGACUACACUGAACAGAGCAACGCAGCAAGGCAGUAAGAGACAUUUGAAAAAAUGUCGAAGGGCAUUGAGCUAACAAGAGGGAAAACAGGUGAAGAGCUUGAGUAGAAGUGGCAGAAACGGCGCAAAGAAGGAAAAAGCGUAGUAUGAAAUUAACCGAUCAUCCAAAUAUAUCAACACUCUUUUUUCCAUGAAAGAAAAAUACUGGAAAUCCCUUUCUUCGCAUUACCAUUUGACUGUAGUUUCCCUUCUAACGAAGGUUGCCAUCAGUGCUCUCGUUAAAUGUCGCAAACGGGUUAGCGAUAUCAAGUGACGUCAAAGCUGGUUGGUUGGUGUUGCGUCUUAAGGGUUCUCGCCAUGACAAUGAUUGGCUGCAAGAAAUUAUGAAACAAGGUUAGAUAACAAGCGAGAUGGGAUGGCAAUGAAGGAAGAAAACCCGUCUUUGUUAGUUGCCCCCAUCAGGUAGUUAUGUGGCGGUCGUUGUCCCUUCCUUUAACUAUAGACGGUUGCAGCUUUUAUCCCCCACUUAGUGAAUGUGUGGUGGCCACGGUCUUUUCCUAAAGAGCAGCAAGUGGUUAGUGUAUGUACUAAAGUAAGUGUAUAGCGCAGAUGCAACUUUUUUUGAAAACCACUUCCACUUGAAUUCAAGUAGUAAUCAAAAGUAACAUGAAAAGAAUUCAAAACAUCAGCUGAAAGUAAAAGCAAUCAGUUUAUAUCCACUCCAUAUCUUGAUUAUCUGUAUUUAGCUAUGUAUGGGAUAAUGUGAUCGGCUCCAAUAUAUGCUGGAAAUGCGAAAACCAGUAUAUCGCUUUUUUGUUUACUUCCUUUAUUUCUUUCCCAACUCUGUUUUCUUUUCCAUUGUCAUCGACUUGUCUACAAAAACGAUUUCCUGUUUUUUCUAGCAACUUGAUCAUUCAUAACAAUUCAAGUAGCGUGCUACUCCAAUGUGUAAGAUCUACGAGUUACAUGGAGGAAGACAAGUAAGGUGAUUUACUGGUUGCCUAAUUGUGGCCAACCCGAAGCUGUCCAUGAACUCAUCUUAAAAUCAGCCAUUAAUGGAUCCAUGGUCGCUGGCAACAUUGGAUAAUGAAAUGGACUUGAAUCGUAAGGCUAGUAUAACGGGAGAGACAGAGUCACUGAAUCAGUUUUGUAAAGAAAUCGUUCCGUUCCUGUAAACUUUAAUAACGAAUUUGUAACAUAUCGGUAAAGAUAUGUAGGACUUUGUAAGGCGUUCUGAUUUGAAUGAGUAAUGAAUUAAUAAACAAUAAGACAUUGUUGAAAGAGCUUUUUACAAAGGUAAAUAAAUCUCAACUUUGAGGUCUUAAUAAUUCAAGUGGAAAAAGGAACUAUAAGGAAAUACUUUCUUCGGAAUAGGAAAGCAUUAAUCAUUUGCACUUUUAACUUUCUCUUAAAAUUCACUUUGCCCAUCGGUAAUUCCUCUGUUGAUCUUAGGGGUUUUGGCACUUCUUCCCGUCGCAACUCAUAAGUCACCUAUUGAGUCAAAAGUAAACAGUAUGUUUAAAACCGCAUAUUUUGUUAAAUUACGUUUUAAAAAAGGAAUCAUAGCAUUACAGGAAUUUGCGGGAGUUCCUUGUAUUUCGUUUAUUUUUUUAAAUUAUUCUUAAAUGCACGUAAUCUAAGUUUACAAGUAUAAUUUACUACAUGGUAAAUAGUAACCUCCUAUCGCCAAAUCUAAUUGCAAAGACAUUCACUCAGUCUUUACACAAACAAAAGUUUGCAACAGUCAUUCAUGCAUUUUAUGUAUUCUCCAAAAUCGGUAAACCUUCUAGUAUUGUAGGUUCUUCUAC